CCUGUCAUUGACCACGCCCUAGCUGUCCAUUAUCCACAAAUAGUCACAAGAUAACUCAGGUUUGUCUUCUCUUGCGCCCUAAGUUUGCACAGCUUCAUUUCAGCUUGAUCCGGAACAAGUACGGACGAAGGUACGGACCGCCUGUCCGUACCUCGCCCUAAGUUUGCACAUCUCACCAAAACAUCUCCAAUGGUUGAGUGUGAUCAGGUUCUGGGUCGCCCUAAGUUUGCACGGUUCAUCCGUACCGUCUGAACCUCGGGACGCCCUAUCUUUGCACCAUCACCAACUAUCUCCAAAUGGUGUCUAAGUCCCUCCUGGACUUAAACCCUAUCUUUGCACAGCCUUCAUGAUACUUCUAGACUUCUCUAAACUCUCAUGAAGCCUUGGAUAGACAAUCUCUUAAGAUCUUGUCCCUAUCUUUGCACCAGACCCAAACUCCUCCAUACUUCUCCUAUGGCUCCAUUUCUUUCUUCAAGUCAACACUCCCCCUCAAGCUUGACUCUAGGUGAUCCUAAGUCAAGCUUGGAACCUUGAAGAACUCCCUCAUUAAAACCUCACCAAGGAAAACCCUUUGGGACAAAACCUUGAUGAGGGAAAAAGAGUAGAGCCUCCAAGGCCUAGGGAUGGCCAGUGAGCCUAUGUGCCUUAGUAUCACUGAGGUUUAGGCACAUAGGCCUCUGGAUCACGGCCUCUUCACUCCACCACUCUUCUUGGACUUCUUCUUAAACUCCGUUGUGUCUUCCCUUCUCUCAUGGCUUCUCGGCCAUCUCCAUCAGGUAAGAUCACGCCCUCUUCAUUGAGAAUCCAAGUAAGGUACCUGAUACAUCAUUCAACAAGUGUAUCAGUUCUCAAGAGAUAAGCCUAUCAUGAAUGUAUAUAAAGAGAUAGAGAUCAGGUUUACUCCCUUGUAUAAAUGGUGAGGACUGGCUGCUCUUCACAUGCCACUUGAGUCCCUCACUUGCUGAGCUUAACAGCUCCUUCUCUGAUCAUGCAAGCUCAUCCACACUCCCCCUCAAGCUUGAGACCAAGUAUAGGAAAGGUCAAAGCUUGAUGGUGAGCGCAUGAUAGCUCCAUGAUAUGCCUUGUGGAAAGCACCUCCAUCUCCUUCGGACUUGAUGCUUGAACCUCCACUACAUCAUCAUUGCACUGAGGAGAUACAUCAGCCCACUCUCCAAGCACCUCACACGCCUUGUUGAGUGACCUUCUUCUUCCCUCUACUUCGGCUGAAUCACUCCAUGAUCAGCUUGCAAUGACCUUGAGUAACACAGGUCAUUGAGCAACAGGAUCAUCAGGUGGCUCACUUUGCUCCCCUCCUCAAGCUUGGAUUGAGUAUGGGUCCAAGCUUGAAGUGAGCCUCAAUGAGCCUUAAGAUCAGGAGCGCAACAUCUCAUAGAGUGCGCUUCAACCACUGAUCAACCCUUCCCUUUAUCUCCAAUGCCUUCUGGUCACCGGUCUCCUCCAGACUUAGGUGAUGACCACUCGCCUUGUGUAUCCACACAUACACCACAGCGACCAUUCCCAAUGGGUAAAGUCUUCUUCCUCUUCUGCUCGGAUUGGUGAUGGACAGAGAGCACAUCUUGUGAACCUGAAACACCACUCAAACUCCAGCAAAGAUAAGACACAAGCAUUGGGAUCAAUCCUUGACUAAUCAUCAAGUUUGAUCUCCAAUGUCACAAGCUAUGCAACAGAUUGAAACAAGAAUUAUCAAGUUCACAUCUUUGCAAGCAAUCUCUCUAGGUACAAGCAAGAUCAAAUCAGAUUCAAGACAAGCUACUUAGGCAAUCAACCCUGCCUUAAUCCGCAAUCAUAGACAUCCAUCUAUGUGCUCAAUGUUAAGGCAGCAACAAGAUGACAAUAUGCUGUGACCUUAAUCAGUUUCUAGCUCAUGUAUGCAGCAGGAUCAGCCAAUGCUUUCUAUUAUCCUAACACACUUCACUUAUAACUGAGGCAAAGCAAUAUUAAUCAUCAAUCAACAUCAGACAAUGCAAAACCUUAAGUGAUUUCAGUUUAAUGAAAGCUAAUAGGAUUUAGACAGUUUCUAACAUCCUAGCACAAUCAUAACCAAAUCAGGCUAAGCAUUUCAUUUCUCAACAUCAAACAACACUCAAUAGCAUCCUGGGACAGAUUCUAAAUCAUUUCAUUUCAUUUAGCAAUCUUAAACAUAUCCUCAGGUUCAUUUAAUCACAUCACAACACAACAACCUGUUUCAAUCACAAGCUCAUAUCAAGAAGGUUUAGGAUUAGCUUACAACCAAGGAACCUGAGCUGGUUCCUUGAGCCACCUUGGUAAUAGGCCACGAAUCUGGUGGAUAAGAGAGCUGGAUCGUCACCCAACACCUUCUCUUUGUGUUCAUAACCUCCUUCUUGAAACCACAACACAAAAGGUUCCACCUUUCUUCACAGCUCCAAGUCUCCAACUUCAGGAACAAGAUGAGAGCUUUCUUCUUGAAGGGUUUCAGCUUGGGACAGAGUUGAGACACGCCUUUAAUGGACUGGAGAGAGGAGGAACGACCAGGAGACACCACCAUAGCUUCAAACACCUUCUUCUUGAAGAGAGAGAACAGGCUGGACAUCUUCAAUGGUUUGGAUCUGUGAUGAGGCUAGACUUGUGAUGUAUAUGCGGAAGCUGGAACCAAGUUCUGAUGAACCUGGCUCUGAUACCAUGUUAGGUUUUCAGAGCUCAGGCUGUGUGUGUGAGAACAAGCCACUAAGGGCGAAAUGAGAGCUUGAACUGAAGAGAGAAAGGUCUGAUGAAGAACAGUAUGAACUUGGACAGAAACAAGAGAUUUAGAGAGAUUAAGAGAUUUAAGUAUAAGAAAGGGGUAGUUUGAGGGAUUCUUAUCCAAGAACACACUUUGUAUUAUGAAGGAGGAGGGGAAAUCCCCCUCUCUCUCUCUUAAGAGAGUUACAAAACGUCCAUGAUAGCCUUUAUAUAGGCUUUACACUUUGUAAAAUCAUAAACCCUUAAUCUAAUGGAUAGAAAUGACUUGAGAUGAAUGGAUGGCUAGGAUGGAGUUUUCUUGUUUGCAAUCUGAGUGAAUUGAUCUGAUUGGAGUAGAGAAUGCUGGCUGGUGAUUGGUUGAUUCAAACUGGUCAAGGCAAGGGCUGGCUCCUGAUUGGUUCCCUUAAAGCUCCCAUGAACCUUUUUCACAAAGAUGGCUAGAUACAUGGUCAAGGCUGCUUUUCCUUUACAGCUCAAAGACAGCCUGUCAUUGACCACGCCCUAGCUGUCCCUUAUCCACAAAUAGUCACAAGAUAACUCAGGUUUGUCUUCUCUUGCGCCCUAAGUUUGCACAGCUUCAUUUCAGCUUGAUCCGGAACAAGUACGGACGAAGGUACGGACCGCCUGUCCGUACCUCGCCCUAAGUUUGCACAUCUCACCAAAACAUCUCCAAUGGUUGAGUGUGAUCAGGUUCUGGGUCGCCCUAAGUUUGCACGGUUCAUCCGUACCGUCUGAACCUCGGGACGCCCUAUCUUUGCACCAUCACCCAACUAUCUCCAAAUGGUGUCUAAGUCCCUCCUGGACUUAAACCCUAUCUUUGCACAGCCUUCAUGAUACUUCUAGACUUCUCUAAACUCUCAUGAAGCCUUGAUAGACAAUCUCUUAAGAUCUUGUCCCUAUCUUUGCACCAGACCCAAACUCCUCCAUACUUCUCCUAUGGCUCCAUUUCUUUCUUCAAGUCAACACC
rnacentral:lncRNA from 1 species